CACACUGGCCCUCUCGGUCGCCCGUGUGUCGCUGCCGCUGCUGCUGCUACUGCUGUACGGAGCUAGGACCCUGGGAUCCUGACGAUGUCCCCUUCCCUCCGAGGCCAGUCCAUCCGGCAGACGGGCAGGAGGUGAUGCAUGGAUGGCUCCUCUCACUAGCAGAAGCCUGCUCCCAGCGGGAGCUCAGUGAAGGGCCCAACCCGGCAGCUCCUCCACACCACCUAGGAGGGGCCCUUGAAGUCCAUGUUGAGACCAGGCUCGGGUGGUCUCAGGUCGAGACCUUGGCCUGGGGUGGGGACCCAGGCCAGAGAGACUCCCAGGGACUCUGAACCCGAAUUCUUGCUGGCCCUUUGGUGGUCAGCAGAGGGCGCGCAUUCCUAGGCCCCCACCUGCCCAGCUUGGGGUGAUUUGUUAUAGGCCAUGAAGGGGCUGGAUAGAGGGAGGGCAGAAGAGGGGCCUCGGAACUACCAUCCUGGAAUUCCAGGGUGUUGUCCCUCUUGAUGCAGAGCUCUGUACUAGUCUCAGGGUGCAGACACAAAUGUCACCCAUCCCAAGGUACAGGCCAGGAAGCAGACAGCCUCUCUCAGAGGUGUGCAUGGGUGGGUGGGAGAAGCAGGAGAAAACACUGGCUUAGCUAGGAGGGCCUCUGACUGGGGAGGUGAGGGGGCUACAGAAUGGAGUGAUCCCCUCAGCCUCCACCAGGUCCUGGGAGGAAUAAACCAACCCUUGUGUGGGAGGAAGGGAAAAAUCAUAAUAAAAUGUUAGGAUUGGGGGAAGUGUGUUUAGACUUACUUCUAGAAGAUUGUUUCCAGAGAUGGCCCAAAAACCUCUUCCAUCCUGCCUGUCCUUUGGAAAUGUGACUUUGACAUUCCUCCCAUUCAGAGGUGGAGUCCAGUCUGAGCUGGCCCUGUGACUUGCUUUGACCAAUUGAAUGGAGUAGAAGUGGUGCUCUGUGGUUUCCAAGCUUACGUCUUAAGAGGCCUUGCAGAUUCCAUUUUUGCCCUCUUGGGAGCCAGCUACUAUGUAAAUAAGUCUGGACUAUCCUGCUGGAAAGGCCACGUAGUGAGACAGAUAGGACCUGGAGGAUAAGAAGCUAGCGACAGCCCAGGUGACUAUAGGCACAAUUGACAGACAUGUGAAUGAGGCCAUCCUGGCUGUCCCAGCCCCAGCUCAGCUCCCAGUGGAGUGCAGCUAUGUGGGUGACGCCAGCCAACACAACCUGAAGCAGUAAAACCUUCCAGCUGAGCCCAGCCAACUCACAGAAUCAUCAAAAAUAAUAAAUUGUUGUUUCAGGCACCAAGUUUUGGGGUAGCUUGUUACACUGCAAUAAAUAAUUGAAACUCUAGGAAUGAGGUCAAUUAUUCUCAGGUGCCUCAUGGAGAAGAAUGAUGAAGUAACUCAGGAAGAAUACAUAGAGUGGUUACUUGGAUGGAGGUGGGCACUUCACACAAAAGUGAGCCACCCCCAUGCUGUCCAGCGGCCUUUAAUCUGUGUGAUUGGCUUGAAAAGAUGACCUGGGCCAAGCAGAUUUGUCUUUCUCAGGAAUUUGGAAUUGGGAAAUGGGCUGGGCAGUCAACCAUUGGAAUAGAAGCUGAGGAUGCUGUGAAAUACAGUUGGCUCCGAAGAGACCUGGGUGAGCCUCAGCAGACUGCAGUUAUAUGCAAAGUAAAGCUCGGCGCAGGUGGAGACUCUCUGAGCAGAAUGAGAUGAGCAGCAGAUCAAGAUGGGAAAGGAUGUGCAGAGAGCAGCACAUGAGAGAAACCAUGCUGCCCUGAGAUGGAGCCGCCUCUGCUCCUGACAGUUUCCCAAGUUCUAGCUAAGGCCUGGCUCUGGUGCCCAUCUCUACACUUUCAUGAGAUUCUCCACAUUGUUUCAACAAAUGCCCCCAAAAGGAAAUUUGGUGGAUUGUGGUUUUGCUUGAGUGGCCACUUUUCCCGGCCUCUCUUUCUAAUAAAAAGCCCUGCCUCCCUGGUUUUCUGGUCAAGAAGUACCAGACCUGGUACAGAGACCUGUAACUGAGACCUGACCAAUGGCGGAGCCCUGUGUCCCUGGACACAAGGAUGAGCAUGUGACCCCAGCUGAGACACUCUUCACUCUUAUUUAGGGCUUCUGGGAGAUUUGGCUCUUUUUCUCUGAGGUUGUUAAUUUGGGGCAAUGUGAGCUGGGAAC
rnacentral:lncRNA from 1 species